UGAGCACUCAAUUAAACAUUGCUUUGAUGAAGACUAUGAGUGGUGGUGAUGGCAACAAUGCCAAUGAUGUCAUGCUCCUCAUGCUUCAACCCCCAAACCUCUCUCUCCAGCCCAGGCCUGCCCUCCUGAGCUCCAGACCCACCUGGCCCCAGCUUCCUGGCCACUUCCACUAGGAUGCCCAAGAGCCCAUUGGACUUGACACGUCCAGAACAGAAUCUCCCGUCCAGGACUCCCCAGCUCAGGGUUGAAGGCAGCCUCACCAAUUGGUGACAUUUGGACAGAGACCUGGAGAAAGUGACAGUGUGAGUCUCCAGGCAAAGGGAACAGCCAGUGCAAAGGCCCUGGGUUGGGACUCUGGGCUAUCCAAGGAACAGCCGUGAUUGGAACAGAGUGAUCAGCAGAGGAGUGAUAUGACAUGUGAGGAGGCGACUGCAAUCAUCCUGAGAAGAGAUGCUGGAGGCUGCGCUGGACUUUGGCUCAUGCUGCAGGUCCGUCUAGUUGUGGGAUGUGGGACGCCGCCUCAACGUGGCCUGACGAGCAGUGACAUGUCCGCGCCCAGGAUCCGAACCCUGGACCGCCGCAGUGGAGCGCGCGAAGUUAACCACUUGGCCACGGAGCCGGCCCCCUAAUUUCAGUUUUAGAAAGACGCCCUGAAAUGGCACCAGACCCAGAUGGUUUUAUGAGCUCUCAUAAAGAAUAGAUGAUUCACAAGCAAUUAAUACUUAGUAGGAAAAGAUGGACUAUUUCCCUUAUAAUUUUAUGAAGCUAAUACAAUUCUAAUGCCAUAACCCAACAAAGACAGCACCACAAGCCCAAUAGGCCAAUCACAUCUGAAAUAUUGAUGGGGAAAUAUGAAAUCAAACACUACCAAAGAGAAUCGAGUGGAACAUUAGAAGUAUAAUACACCAUGAUUAAACAGCAUCCAUUCCAGGAAUGCGGGUCCAAGAAUGCAUGGUCAACAUGAGGAAAAGCCACUUACAUAGUCCAUUAUAUUCAAUGCCCAUUCUCAAUUUAAAUAUUAUGCAGACUGCAUGUAAGAGUGACACACCAGCAGUAGGCAUAUGAACCAGCCCAGGCU
rnacentral:lncRNA from 1 species